AAAUAAAUAGGAUAGACGGCUCUACCACUAAAGCAGAUGAUCGAGGUGCGGAGCUGCUAGAUCUGACUCACCCAGUCAGAAAUGGAAUAAUUGAAAGUAUAUUAGUACAGCAGGCACACUCUGAUUUGGGUCAGUCUAAUAAUUUAUUUCUACGGUAAAUAUGGAGUGUAAAAUAUAUUAAAAAUGAUGUUACAGUAAAAUGAGGAAAAAAAUGUAGCAUGUAGUAUUGAUGGAUUAAAUUCUGCUAAAUGUUCUUUAAUAGAUAGUAGUAUUAGAAUGUAAAGGUAAGUAGAUCGUCACUGAAUGGUACACAUGAUUUUUUG